GAUGAACGCUAGCGACAGGCUUAACACAUGCAAGUCGAGGGGCAGCAAGAAUUGUAGCAAUACAAUUUGUUGGCGACCGGCGCACGGGUGAGUAACGCGUAUGCAACCUACCUAUCAGAGGGGGAUAGCCCGGUGAAAGCCGGAUUAAUACCGCAUAAAACAGGGGUCCCGCAUGGGAAUAUUUGUUAAAGAUUAAUUGCUGAUAGAUGGGCAUGCGUUCCAUUAGUUAGUUGGUGUAGGUAACGGCUCACCAAGACAUCGAUGGAUAGGGGUUCUGAGAGGAAGGUCCCCCACACUGGUACUGAGACACGGACCAGACUCCUACGGGAGGCAGCAGUGAGGAAUAUUGGUCAAUGGGCGAGAGCCUGAACCAGCCAAGUAGCGUGAAGGAUGACUGCCCUAUGGGUUGUAAACUUCUUUUAUAUGGGAAUAAAUGACAUUACGUGUAGUGUUUUGUAUGUACCAUUAUGAAUAAGCAUCGGCUAACUCCGUGCCAGCAGCCGCCGUAACAC
rnacentral:rRNA from 1 species